rnacentral:lncRNA from 1 species
CCCCAAACGAGAAACAACUCCGAAACUGAGCAGUAGCAGCCUAUCUGAAACUUGCAUGUCUGUCAGCUGUGAUCAUGUGAGCGGUCAGCUGAUCAGCCACCACACAUCCUGAUCCGCUGCUACUGUUUACAAUCGCACAGAGCAAACCGCCUCGACAUGAUGAGCAGCCCUGCCUGAUCUGUGACAGGUCCUGGUUGCUUCCUGUUCCCUCGGCCCCGGGUUCGCUGCCUCUCCUCUGGCCCCUUGUCUCUGGAGCAUGUGACUGGCUGGCUGUGGAGGCUCUGGGCUCUGGCUGUCAACUCCAGCAGAGACAUCUGAACCUGAGAUCACACGGCUCUACAAAUCUGAUCGGGGAACAUCUAUCACUCAGAUGCCAGAGACAGAAGGAAAAAAAACAACCCUCAUUCUCUUGAGGUUAGGUUAUUGUAGUAGUUAAAAUGAUAUCGAUAAACCUUGCAGCCCU